rnacentral:misc_RNA from 1 species
GUGAUCAUUGAUAACCGAUUUUCCGUCGUGUACGUCGUCUCAUUGCCUCGAUAGGGAACACCAUUGAUACGCCAAGCGCACGAUUAUGCGAAUCCACUCAUAUUUCAAUCGUCGAAAUACGACCGAACGCCCGUAACCAAAAACCAAAUGGUGGUGGUUGUCAUUCGGAAUUGUGUUAUUCUCGUAAUACCGGAAUCGCAACGCUAACACAUCAAAAGGCCAAAUCGCAUUAUUACAAUGUCGACACGCGCAAAUCGCGAUCAUAACGUUUUAUAUUACAUUUUUUUUCGAACGUCAGUCAUGUGCUAAUCUAGGCACAUAUUAUACGCUAUAUUAAGUUACAAUAUAAUAUACAAUAUAGUCCCGAAUACGGUAAUUCGCACGUAUUUGCAUUUUUUUUUAUCUUUUGCCGUAAACCGCGGAUUCGGCGAUUUUAAAUUACAAUAAUUACAUUUUAUUAUUUUAUUCGAUCAUCAUAUUUUAUGCAGUCAACAAAUUGGGAUUUUCGACUACACGUGAAUGCCUACUGGAAUACCGAGAUCCCAACAAUCUUAACAUAAAGCAAAUGUAGCAAUUAAAAACAAGAAAUGGUAUACAGUAGUUGUAAGUAAUUACAAAAGACAUCUUUGUAGACAAUUUAUAUUAUAACUUUCAAGUGAAAUUUAUCAUUUAAAAUUAUUAUCUAUUAUUUUUUUUGAAAAAAAAAAAUAAUAUAGGUAUAAUAUCUUAGAAAGUAAUUUUUACUAAAAUUGACACCUAUGAAUGGGAAUGAAUAAUAGAUAUGCUCCCAGCACUGGUUAGAAAAUGCAGCACAGCAAGCAGAGAAAAAUCUUACCGAAGGACAAAAGAAAAAAAGAACAAGCACAAAUUAAAAUCUAAAUCACACAAAAAACCUGCUCUAAUUACUUCAAGUAAACAUUUAGUUCAAUAUUCAGAUGUUAGUUCUGAAGAACUUAGUAGUCCAGAGGCUGGUGAAAUACAUAGUGAUUUCGAUGAUAAACAUGGGGCCAUACGUUUAAAACCUCCUACCAGAAUAAUAACUAAUAAUUUUCGAAUUACUAGAGUCACGUCACCUAGAAAUCUAGUAGAAGCCUGUUCCCCUAUAAGUAAUCAUUGGGAACUAGAUCCAGUACUAGAUAAAUCUUCAAUGUCUACCACUUUCAAUAUAAAUAAUUGCGUAGACAUGACAUCAGAAGUAUCACGUUUAAAGUACAAAAAAGCUAAAAAAUCCAAUAAAAAACCCAAAAGCCCUAAUACAAAAAAGAAAAAAAAGAAGAAGGAUUUGAAACAUAAAUCUGAUGAAUUACCAGACUGUGAUAAUAGUUUUGUGAAGUUUUCCAAAUGUUCUAAUUCGGAACCUUCCAAACGAAAUGGUGAUUUUAUUGAACCUGUUAAAAAGCAUAAACCUAUUGAGGUGUCACAUACUCCACCAUUAACAAAACCAGCUCAUAUCAAAGUUUCCAAAGUUGAGGUAACACAUAAAGAGGAAGAAAAACACACCAAACAUCAUAGAAAAGAAAAUAAAAGUUGGAUGAAGAGCCCACCAUUAUUAAAUUUAGCAAUAAGGAAAGAAUAUAGCCGUACUCCUGAACCUGUAGAUGGUAAAUAUAAUUAUCGACCACGAAGUGUUUCAAAACAAAAUAAUCGGGACCAUAAAAGACGUAUGGAUGAGUUUGAAAGAUAUGACACUGACGACCUCAAGUCUAGUAGGACUCGAGACAAACACGAGAGCAAACACGAGAGCAAACAUGAGAGCAAACACGAGAGCAAACAUGAGAGCAAACACGAGAGCAAACACGAGAGCAAACACGAGAGCAAACAUGAAAGGAGUAGAGUACGGAAAACUAAAUCUGAUAAAGAUAGAUCACCAGUACACAGCCACAGAUUAUCACGAAGUCCAAUUCGAGAUCGUAGACACCAUGAACACGUGAAAAGUUCUAAAGCUGGAUAUUCACAAUCCCAUUCUCAUUCCCAUUCCCGUUCUCGUUCUCGUUCACAUUCCCCCCAUCAACCGAGACAUGAUCAUCAUCAUGCACACCACUCGCCAAAACGUGGUCAAAAAUCUCCACCGCGUACUACUACUUCCAAAUCAUCAAAGCAUACGUCUCAUAUACCGCGAACAAUCUCACCUCACAAUUCUCGUUCUUCGAGAAAAUCAAGUCAUAAUCAACCAAAAUAUUCACGUUCUCCAUCUAAAAACAUCCGCACUCAAAGUAAAUCGUCUUCUCCAGUAAAGGAUUCAAAAACUACUAAAAAGCAUUCUGAUAGUGAUUCACCUGGAUGUUAUUCUUCAGUUUCUAAGAAAAAAAAAUCUACAAAAAGUCCAGCAAAACAAUAUAAUUCUAAAGUAAAACUUAGUGAAACGAGUCUUUUUGCUGAGUUGGUAAAAGAUCGGCAGAUGCGGGAAUUAGCCAUGAAGUGUUUAACUCAAAUUAGUUCUAAGACUGUUGAUGAAAAUGAUGUAGUUGAAAUACAGGAUGAUUCAGAAAAUGAACAAAAUAGUUCUAAGACAAAUGAUAUAAAUACAAAAUUAAAUAAAAUAAAUGCAAACGAUGAUGUGGAUUCUUGUGAAAUAGUAGAAAUGUCAGAAAAUAUCAGUCAAACUACUAAACCUGAUGUUGAAACAUCUGAUGUAAAAUCAGUUACUUCACCAAUUUCAGAAAUUACGACAAACAUUCCAGUGAUUUCUCUUAAAAGUCAAAGUCCGUCUAUUACAAAAGUAGAGAUCAUAGAAAAUGGAAUUGAACAUUCUGUAGAACCUAAAGAGCCUAAAGUAAUAUUAACACCCAAAAUAACUCCACCUGAGAAAAAAGUAGAAGUAAUAGAAAAUAAAGAUAUGUCAAAAAUGCCAUUGCCGCCUGUUUUUUCAAUACACAAUGAAACGUCACCAGAUUCAGAACUUAAGAGUUCAAAAAAAAGCUUUAAAGAUUUACCUCUACCACCAGGACUUGUUCAAAAUGCCGAUAAGACAGAUGAUGAUAAAAAUCUUUCUUUGUCAGAAAUUGUAUCAAAUCCUUUACCUGAUCAUCAACAAAGUGCAAUUAAAAGAUCAAUUAUGUUGGGCUUAGGAUCAGUGUUUCCACAAAGCUUUUCAUUCACUUCAAACACGGAACUGCCCUCUCGUCCAUUAGAUCCAAAUGUUAAGAUUAAACGACCUAGAGUACUUUAUCGAAGACGGAAUACAAAAUCUGCUGCAGCCAAUAACCCUAUUGAUUGGGGAGAGCAGUGUGUUGAUAUGUUUGAAGUAAUAAAUCAAAUAGGUGAAGGUACCUAUGGUCAAGUUUACAAAGCAAAAGAUAAAACUUCAGGUACAUUUGUAGCAUUGAAAAAAGUUCGUCUUGAAAAUGAGAAGGAAGGAUUCCCAAUUACCGCUGUUCGAGAAAUAAAAAUUUUACGGCAAUUAAACCAUAAAAAUAUUGUUAACCUUAGAGAAAUUGUAACUGAUAAACAAGAUGCCCUUGAUUUUAAGAAAGAUAGAGGAUCGUUCUAUUUAGUAUUUGAAUACAUGGAUCAUGAUCUUAUGGGAUUAUUAGAAUCCGGAAUGGUUGACUUUAAUGAGACACAUAAUGCAAGUAUUAUGCGACAAUUGUUGGAAGGCUUAAAUUAUUGUCAUCGUCGAAAUUUUCUUCAUAGAGAUAUCAAAUGCAGCAACAUCUUAAUGAAUAACAAAGGUGAAGUGAAGUUGGCUGAUUUUGGUCUAGCUAGGUUGUAUAACGCUCAAGAUAGACAAAGGCCGUACACUAAUAAAGUGAUAACCCUCUGGUAUAGGCCACCUGAAUUAUUACUAGGCGAAGAGAGGUAUGGAACUUCAAUAGACGUUUGGUCUUGUGGAUGUAUUUUGGGAGAAUUGUUCUUAAAAAAACCUUUAUUUCAGGCCAACGAAGAAAUGAUGCAAUUGGAAACAAUAUCUCGUUUAUGUGGUAGUCCAACACCAGCUGUGUGGCCUACUGUGAUUAACUUGCCUUUCUGGCAUUCCUUAAAAGCUAAGAAAGUAUAUCGACGUCGGUUACGUGAAGAAUUUACAUUUAUGAAUGAUAGUGCCUUGGAUCUUUUAGAUCAUAUGUUAGAAUUAGACCCUAGCAAACGAAUUACUGCUGACAAAGCUCUAAAAUGCAAUUGGUUAAAAAAUGUUCAACCUGAUAAAAUGGAUGUGACAGCAUUACCAACAUGGCAAGAUUGUCAUGAACUUUGGAGCAAAAAAAGAAAAAGAGAUCAAAGAGUACGAGAAAACCAGCCCAAGACUAACGAUUCUAGUGAACCAAUACCACCGGCUGGAGGAAUUCCCGCUGAUGUACAAAAUAAUGAAAAUAAUUUAGCUGAUAGUUUAAAAUCAACUGUUGAAAAUAAUACCAAUGAAGCGGAAAGUGAUAUUAUAGCAGCAGCGCUUGCCAAUAACAAUUCAACAAAAUCUGAUAUUGAAUCUGAAAAGCCUCAUAACAAUGUGGAAACAGAUGAGGUACAUUGAUUCAGUAUUCAGAUAAUGUAUUAUAGUUGAUUAGAUAAAAUAAUUAGCUUAAUGUUAUCUAUAGCAAUUGGUGUCUAGUACAACUGUUGACGUAAUUGAUGAUUUAAAUCUGACUCCACCUAUCAACGAUUUUAAUCAAUGCUUAAACACUUUCCUUCCAAAAACUGGUAGAUUUUAGAUCAAGC